rnacentral:rRNA from 1 species
GGGAAUUUGCGGGCGCGAAUUCGCCCUUCAGGCCUAACCAUGCAAGUCGAACGCGAAAGUCACUUCGGUGGCGAGUAGAGUGGCGGACGGGUGAGUAACGCGUAGGAAUCUGCCCUGUAGUGGGGGAUAACCCGGGGAAACUCGGGCUAAUACCGCAUACGCCCCACGGGGGAAAGCGGGGGAUCCUUCGGGACCUCGCGCUAUAGGAAGAGCCUGCGUCGGAUUAGCUAGUUGGUAGGGUAAAGGCCUACCAAGGCGACGAUCCGUAGCUGGUCUGAGAGGAUGAUCAGCCACACCGGAACUGAGACACGGUCCGGACUCCUACGGGAGGCAGCAGUGGGGAAUAUUGCGCAAUGGGCGAAAGCCUGACGCAGCCAUGCCGCGUGUGUGAAGAAGGCCUUCGGGUUGUAAAGCACUUUCAGUGGGGAGGAAAGAGCCCAGGCUAAUACCCUGGGUCGUUGACGCUACCCACAGAAGAAGCACCGGCUAAUUCCGUGCCAGCAGCCGCGGUAAUACGGAAGGUGCGAGCGUUAAUCGGAAUUACUGGGCGUAAAGCGCGCGUAGGCGGCUUGGUAAGUCGGAUGUGAAAGCCCCGGGCUCAACCUGGGAACGGCAUUCGAUACUGCUGAGCUGGAGUACGAGAGAGGGGGGUGGAAUUCCAGGUGUAGCGGUGAAAUGCGUAGAGAUCUGGAGGAACACCAGUGGCGAAGGCGGCCCCCUGGCUCGAUACUGACGCUGAGGUGCGAAAGCGUGGGGAGCAAACAGGAUUAGAUACCCUGGUAGUCCACGCUGUAAACGAUGUCUGCUAGCCGUUGGGAUCCUUGAGGUCUCGGUGGCGCAGCUAACGCGAUAAGCAGACCGCCUGGGGAGUACGGCCGCAAGGGUAAAACUCAAAUGAAU